GGACGAACGCUGGCGGCGCGCCUAACACAUGCAAGUCGAACGGAGCUUAGAGAGCUUGCUUUUUAAGCUUAGUGGCGAACGGGUGAGUAACGCGUGAGUAACCUGCCCUAGAGUGGGGGACAACAGUUGGAAACGACUGCUAAUACCGCAUAAGCCCACGGUACCGCAUGGUGCUGAGGGAAAAGGAUUUAUUCGCUUUAGGAUGGACUCGCGUCCAAUUAGCUAGUUGGUGAGGUAACGGGCCCACCAAGGCGACGAUUGGUAGCCGGACUGAGAGGUUGAACGGCCACAUUGGGACUGAGACACGGCCCAGACUCCUACGGGAGGCAGCAGUGGGGGAUAUUGCACAAUGGGGGAAACCCUGAUGCAGCGACGCCGCGUGGAGGAAGAAGGUUUUCGGAUUGUAAACUCCUGUCGUUAGGGACGAUAAUGACGGUACCUAACAAGAAAGCACCGGCUAACUACGUG
rnacentral:rRNA from 1 species